CUCUGUUCAUAUGAACGGUUUCAGAGUAACAGCCGUGUUAGUCUGUAUUCGCAAGGGAGCCAAAACUGAAGGGAGAAGGAGGAAGCAACCGCAACUGCCUCUGUGACUGAGGCAUUUCUAGCCAGCACAGUGUGGGGCCUGGGGAGUGUCAUGUUCCUGUACCAGGACGAGGCCGUUUUUCUUGACAUACCAGAUUCCGCACUAGAAGUUUUAAAUCGUGAACAAGAUGGAAGUCAAAACCAACAGACAGCGUUUCCUGAAAUGACAGAAGACGACUUAUCGAGUGUUAUCUCUCAAGAAGAAACGUUGAAGGGGACCAAGAAAUUUCGCUCUGAAUCAGCGACAGUGGGAAGCAAGGGUAUGAGACACUUUGAUUUUGAGCACAUCCAAAACCUCAUUACACAGAACCAGCCAUCCUUAAAAAGGGCCAAAAAAUCUACCACUGAAACAGCAGCAUAUAGAAGCAAGGGGGUUACCCCCCCCCCGCAUUUUGAUCUGCCCUGCACCACCAGGGCCAAAAAAAAUCUACCUCUGCAGGGCCGGGGACACUGGUAAGCAAUCCAAAGGAACUCAAACCCCUAGUUCUCAACAGCCCCAAGCCUUUACAGCCCCGAAGGAACCAGCUUUGAGAAGGGUAAAGGCAAACAAUCCUGUAGCAGCAGCUGUGUCCAGGGCUGGGUUUGAGCAGAGUCAAGAGGCCCGCCCCCCGGCUUCUGGGCAAAGCAAAAUCUCUGCUACAAGUAAAAACCUCCCUGUAUGUCUUGCUGCAUCAGUUGUUGUUUGUAAUGAGCUGUUUCGUGUUUGUACAUCUCUGAAGCGUUUAAUAGAUAAAAAGUUUUCGAAGCUAAUCGUUGAGGUGUUUCAAAAGCAAAAUGCUCCAGACAAAAGGGUGGUUUUAGACCAAAAGUGUGUUAAAGGUGGAAGGGAGGGUGUGACUAAACAUGAAACCUAAAAACAUAAACAUAUUAGAAACAGGGCUGGUGGUGUGGGGGAGCGAGGGGCUGUAAAGGCCCUUAAAAACUAUCAUGUACAGUAAAAUCAUCGGAAAAAAGAAAAAAAUUAAUUGAUUUACAUAACCAAGGUAACAAACUGUGUUUUGCCGGUAGCGUGCUGGGUCUUUUAUCAGAUGAAAAACUUACAGAUAUCCAACUAUUAGAGGCAGCCAGACAUCUCCAUCAGGAGCUGGGGUUUUCGGACCAAAAAAUGAUUCACUUUACAGACGGGAGCGCUUUGGGGUAGACCGUUAUGUAUCAUGAAAAUGGAAACUUGCGCUUUUUUACAACGGCUGGUGUACACCGCCCAAAACUGGUUUUGUUCUGUUACAUGACAAACAUUAUUAUGGCAUCCUAAAUAUUAAAGCCUUUAUAGGCGCGCCGUAUUUGUGCAAUUACUGAUAAGCCACGUCCAGCCACAAACAUCAGCAAGCCUGUAAAAAUCACUGCCGUACGUGUAAUAGCGCCGAGCGCCUUGAAGUGGCCACUGAAAAAAGAGAUGCCCACAGCUCUAAACUAUUUUGCAGGCCCGAGGCCUGUUUAGAAAGGCACAACGCUUUGGUAAAAGACGGUAAAGUUGAUUGUAAAAACAGAAGUCUUUGCAGUAAUUGCGGCUUCUACAAGGUUAAAAAUCACAGGUGUAAAAGCAAAAAAUGUCCCCAGUGCUAUCAGAAGACCGACAACAUAGAGGGUUAUGAGUGUUAUAUACAUAAAAUUUGGUCUCCAGAAGAGGGGAAGGAUUAUGUGUUUUAUGAUUUUUAAUGCAUCCAAGAAAUGGGCUACAGGUGCCAAAUUAUGUUUAUGCCUUGUAUCUAAAUAAAGAAACCAGCUGGGAAUUUAAGGGAGAAGAAUGCGUUAGCGAGUUUGUUUGAACCUUUGUAGACAAAUGCUUUAAGGGAUACCCAUUCAUUGCUCAUAAUGCUAAAGAUUACGAUUGUUAUUUUAUCCUUAGACAGUUGAUUAAAGAAAAAACACAAGGGGGGAAAUGAAUGUGCGUAACGGUGAUGGACUUAGACAUUAGAUUUAUAGCUUCUUUAAAUUUUCUUCCCACAAAACUUAGCAAGUUACUCAAAGCUAUGGGGUUGGAGGAAGUUAAGGGGUACUUUCCGCGCUUUUUUUAACACUGUUGCAAAUCAGAACUAUGUGGGGCCUAUGCCCGGGAUAGAGUAGUUUGGAGUAGAAUACAUGCUGCCUGAAGAAAAAAAAGGAAUUUCUGAACUGGUACCAACACAAUCGCCAAAACAAAUUCGAUCUCCAAAAAGAUCUGCGCUAUUAUUGUCAAAAAGAUGUUGAAAUUUUGCGAGAGGCUUGCGACCGGUUCAAAAAUAAAGUUAUAAAAAUGACAGAAAAGCAGAUUGUUAAAAACCCAGGACAGGAUGAUGAGAAGGUGGUCACUAAGUGUAUAGACCCCUUUCAGUACCUUACAUUAGCCUCGAUUUGGAUGGCCAUGUACCGAUUUAAUUUUUUAAAACCGCGAACCAUAGCCCUUCUGCCAUUAAACAAUUACCACAAAUAGCAGAAGAGAUAUUCCACCCCGGCCAUUCAAUGGUUGCUGAACGUAGCCCACACUGAGACCAUUUACAUCCAACACGCUUUGCAGGGUGGGGAGUGGGGGGUCCUAUUUUUGGAUGGUUACGCCGUCAUAGCAGGUAAAUCCACAGCCUUUGAAUUUAACGAAUGUUUUUUUCACGGCUGCCCCAUCUGCUAUUGUGAAAAUGACCACAAUCCGUUGCUUAAUUCGACCUACAGACACCUGUACAACCGAACCCUGAUUAAGGCGCAAUUUCUAAAAAGACAGGGGUUUGAGGUAACGGCCAUGUGGGAACACGAAUGGUUGGCUAUGCUAGCUAACGAUAACCGGGUGGGGGACUUUUGACGAGAAAAAAAACUGCCACAAACUUUGGUUCCUAAAGACACCCUUUACGGGGGUAGAACGAAAACCAUCUGCCUUUAUUACAAACCACAGCCCGGGGAGCAGAUUCAUUACUACGAUUUUACCGGCCUUUACUCUUUUGUUAACAAGAAUAAACAAUACCCUGUGGGACACCCCGGUAUUGUGUAUGAGCAUUUUGGGGCUAUCAGACAGUACUCUGUCAUCACCAAGGUUAAAGUGUACCCUCCAAGAGCCCUGUAUUUCCCCAUAUUACCAUACAGGGUCGGUGGAAAACUCAUGUUCCCCCAUGCGCCCUUUGUGCAGAAACAAAACAAAAGGACCCCUGCGAGCACAGUCAGGAGGAGAGGGCUUUAACAGGAACUUGGUUCACAGUAGAGUUGGUGGAGGCUUUAGACAAAGGAUACAGAAUCGCUGAGAUUUAUGAAGUCUGGCAUUUUAACUGCUCUUCAGACGCCCUGUUUUCAAACUACAUUAAAACACACCUGAGACAGAAACAAGAGGCCUCGGAGUUCCCUCACUGGUGUACGGACAAGUUAAAAAAACCGGUACGUUAAAGAGUACCGUGAAAGAGAAGACGUGUGUCUGCGUCUAAACAAAAUUAAAGUAAACCCCACGAAAAGGCAAAUCUCAAAGCUGUUUUUAAAUUCCUUGGGGGGGAAAUUUGGUCAGCGAACAAAUUUGACUAACACCAGUAUAGUAACUGACCCCGACGAGCUCUUCAAGUACGUCUUUGUACCUUAUUACAACGUGUCAGCGUGCGAGUUUAUCGACGAUGACAUGGCUGUGGUGUCUUGGAACUACACAAAAGAAAGCUGCACCCACUCCAGCAACACUAACGUGUUUAUAGCGUGCUUUACCACAGUUAUGCCAGGCUAGAGCUCUACCGUCUGUUAGACCACUUACAGGAGCGGUGUCUUUGUCACGAUACGGACGCUGUAAUUUUUGUGAGUAAAGAAGGGGAGAGGAACCCGCUCCUAGGGGAUUAUUUAGGGGAUCUGACCAGGUAAAUACCACCAGAUGAACAUAUCGUGGAGUUUGUGUCCGCUGGGCCUAAAACAUACGGAUACAAACUGUUCAGCGGUAAGAUCUGCAUGAAAGUAAAAGGGAUCACGCUCAACUCAGGGAAUAGCAAAAAAAUUAAUUUUGAAAGCUUAAAAGAACUCGUCUGGGAAAUUGUGGUACAGCAGCCAGGAAUCGAAAGGGUAAAAAAGCACUGGUCGAUAGAAACGAGAACACUGAAAAAAAACCCAAAAGUCGUUUAUGACAAAAGAGCCCUUGAAGUGGAUUUUAAAACCUUGCUGUACCCUAAAUUGAUUAUUAUGAAAAGCCACGUUUGCUUUGUGGCCCCUCGAAUUGUUAGAAAUGGUAAUAAGUUGUUAUCCUGUAUGCCUGAAAAUAUUGUGUGCUCUUAUAGCUGUUGGCAACCGUUGUAUAAAGAGUUGCUGCAAAAAUGUCCAUGUAUUAUG